rnacentral:snoRNA from 1 species
UGGUAAGACUCUGUCUCAAAAACGAAAUGAUCACCAUACCUCCCUAGAAUAAAAGCUGCCUUUUGAUGACCCGAACGAAUUGAGUGGAAUCGUAAUGGACAGAUACAGGGCAGACAGUU